UUAUGGCCAUAUCACAUUGAAACAGCAGUUCCCAUAUGAUCACUGAAGUUAAGGAACAUCGAGCCUGAACAGUACCUAGAUAGGUGACUAUUUGGGUAUACCAGGUGCUGUAA